rnacentral:pre_miRNA from 3 species
UUUCAUGGAUGAGCAAAGAAAGUGGUUUCUUGAGAUAGAGUCUGCUUCUGGUGAAGAUUCUUUGCA